GGCAUAGAUUCAGCCUGUGAGUUAUUAUUUCCGGCGAAUAAUUGUAAUUAUUAUUUUCUUUGUCUAUUACAUGGAAUUCCGUCGGAGUUUGCGUCAAUUGGCCUUAUUAAUCACUUCAAAUGAUUACCAGUUGAUUCUUUAAACAAUCUUUGAUGUCACGCAAGCGCAAUGCCAUUGUGGCUGCAGGCUUAGUGGCCUUUGCAUCAGCAGGAUUGGCAUUUCCCUUCUACAUGGCGUCGAAGUCAUCCAAGGGUCCCGUGAUAGACUCAUCAAAGCCGCUGCCCCCUCAAGCAACUUUCCGUGGACCUUACAUAAACACUGGAUCACGCGAUAUUGGACCCGAUGCUAAGAUCUAUCCCAAGAAAUAGUUUGCUUCUCUCAUGGUAGGAUAUUUGCAAGGUGUAUUGAUAUGGAAUGAAGGUUUCCUUCACUUACCCUUGUGGUUGAUAAUGUGUUUUACGGUGUAUAAGUUAAUUAGUUGAAACAUUUUUUAGAUCCUCUUUCAAUUCAAAAUUUUAAUACAUUAAUUUAUGUAGGAUAUGUUAAAUAUUAUAGAUUCUCAUCGUGAUGGAAUUAUCUUCAUACAAAA